ACUAUACAAAUGUCAUUGCAUCCAUUAAAGCACAAAUCAAGAUGGUAUGUCUGUUUUGUUGUUUCUUCUUCUUCUUUUUUUUUUUGUCUUCUUUUAUGGAGUUCUACCCAUCAGGCUUUUGUGUCGUGAUUGUCAUUACUUGUGAUCAUUUGCAGGUAUGUGAAGGUAUCAGAGAGUUGCUCCAACUUCAAGAAUGAUAAGAUGCACUAUAUCAAGAUGCAAUGGCACUAUCUCAGGAAAAGAAUUUCGUCUCAAUUGUGCCAACUGUUUAAAUUUUGUUGAAUUGAGCAUUUACCUGGAAGUUUGCUUGUAAAUCACUAAUGAAUGAAAGAAAGAACAGGGACACAAAAUGAAUCUUUUAACAGAGAACAUUGAUGUAUUGUAGUUGUUUAUAUGGACUAAUGCAAGUGCCAGUACAACCUUCAUUAGUUACUCUCGAAUCUUUAACUUCAGCGGAAACAUGCUGCUGCUCUGAGCUUUACUUCUGGCUACUAUUGUUGGUUUUGAAUCUUAAUAAUUGUCAGUUGUCAUCAAAUGGAAGUAGUCUGACAAUCUUAUUUGUUUGUAUCUGCUAUCCUGAUUUUGUCAUUGAAAAUGGGAUGAAAGGACAAUGAG
rnacentral:lncRNA from 1 species